UGAACGCUGGCGGCGCGCUUAACACAUGCAAGUCGAACGAGAUGAGUGGCUUCGGUCAUGAGUCUAGUGGCGGACGGGUGAGUAACGCGUGGACAACUUGCCUUAUAGUGGGGGAUAGGCGAAAGAAAUUUCGAUUAAUACCGCAUAAUACGAUUUGGUCGCAUGAUUAAGUCGGGAAAGGCUUUGGUCGCUAAAAGAAAGGUCCGCGUUUGAUUAGCUAGUUGGUGUGGUAAUGGCAUACCAAGGCAACGAUCAGUAGCUGGUUUGAGAGAAUGAACAGCCACAUUGGGACUGAGAUACGGCCCAGACUCCUACGGGAGGCAGCAGUGGGGAAUAUUGCGCAAUGGAGGAAACUCUGAACCGCAGCGACGCCGUGUAAAGGAUGAAGGCCUUCGGGUUGUAAACUUAUAUCGAUUGUGAAAAGCAAGGAUGGUAGCAAAGUAAGAAGCUCCGGCUAACUACGUGCCAGCCGCCGC
rnacentral:rRNA from 1 species